GGACUACCAGGGUUUCUAAUCCUGUUUGCUCCCCACGCUUUCGUGCAUGAGCGUCAGUGUCAGCCCAGAGACCUGCCUUCGCCAUCGGUAUUCCUCCUGAUAUCUACGCAUUUCACUGCUACACCAGGAAUUCCAGUCUCCUCUGCCACACUCCAGCCGUACAGUCCCAAAUGCCAUUCCCAGGUUGAGCCCGGGGAUUUCACAUCUGGCUUAUACAACCGCCUGCGCACGCUUUACGCCCAGUAAUUCCGAUUAACGCUUGCACCCUACGUAUUACCGCGGCUGCUGGCAC
rnacentral:rRNA from 1 species